AUGAGUAUCGCGCAACGAUGGUGAAACUACGUGUAUCUCCUGUUUUAAUAUUGUUCGUAAUUUGCGGCGUCAACUUGGUGGAACCAUUAGUAAAGGAAAGCUUGUCCAAAUUUUUAGGAUCCUUGGCGGGUGUUAAACAAGUGAGGAUUCCGGAAUUGUUAAAUCAAUUGUGCAACGAAUCGCAAGGCUCAGAUACAGUUCGUCGAGAUGCGUGUUACGGAUGUUUCUUCCGGGCCUCUAGUCAAACCGUUGGAUAUCCUUUAUUGGUGGCAAUGUCUAAUUGUGCUUAUAUUUAUCUCAAUAAUACCGAUUAUGGUCACUGUCAACAGUACUUGAGCAACGCUACUGGUACAGCAAAUUCAAGAACGAAUCCAACGACGAUAUACUGCACGUUCCUCGAGUGCGUUCGACAAGUGAACAAGGAUAAUUUAGAAGCAAGAAUCAAACUGAGAACGUCACCAAGCUUCAAGAUGAUUUCCAGACGAGUGCCAUUAUUUUAUUUAAAAUUAUACAAGAAAUUAUCGAAAGCUGUUUGCAUCAUCCGAGAACAGGAUUCAGAAUCGAACACCGUGAGGCCAGGAGCGGAACCUAUCGAUCCGAGGAAGCAAAAAAUUAAAUCACAAAAAUUUAUUAUUUCAGAGCGAUCAAAUUAUACAUAGAAACCUAUAGGGAAAAUAUUGUACAUAUCAUUCGACUUUUCAAAACGUCUACACAACGAAAUCUAAAUUACAUUCGGCUUUAAAGACCACUGCUGUAAAUAUAGCAACGCUUCGAUUUCAAUCCAUGAAAAAGUCAAAUUUUUCGCCAAAAAAUUUACACAGAAACUUCGUUGCCACGAGAAAUUGAUCUCGAACAGAUAAUCGUUCAACCACAAACGUUCUGCACAGCUUAGAGAAUGCGUCGGCGAAGCCAUACGAAUGUUCCCCAAUUUCAACCUCACGGAUGUCAAACUAGCUCAAUUAUACGUGAAUACCACUGCGUGUGUGCUGGCGAAAACUCGCUGCUCUCAAAUGAACCC